AUACUUCUCUGUAGCUGUCUUCAUUAGUUUUUUUGUUUCUUUUCCUUUUUUUUUUUUUCUUUUUAAGAGAAAGUAGUCCCAAGAAGCAAAAUCCCAGUUAGGGUCCACCUGUGAGUUUCAGAUCUCAGGAUCCAGCCUGCGCCAUUAAGAGGGUGUGAUUUCAACCGGGAAACGCGAUGUCAGUUAUUCCCAAAGAUUCUGGAGCUGGGUGUGCAGCUGAGGAGCUGUGGGGAACUGUACCAGACGACACUGUGACUCCACAAGUACAGAACUGCAACUGAGGACCUGCAGCACAGCACCCAGAAUUCUACUGGGAGUCCUCUGCACCCCGUCAUCAGUUCCAGAGAGAGCACCCAGCCUUGGGCAUCAAUCCCACCCCUCAAAAGCCAUAUGAGCUCCCAAGGAGGGAACUGGAGAGCGAUGGAAAUCUGCCUGUCCAGAGGUUGCAGAAGGCACUGAGGCAGUUCAAUAGGAUUUGUGAUUUAAUUAAUUGUUACUGAUGAGAUGGGUGAAUUUUGAGAGUGCGGUAACUGAGAUUUGGAUGACUACAAUUACACCAGAUUGAAGGAAGGGCUUGAGCAUACUGCCUGCACCCAGGACAUGGGGUCUGUACGUGAACAGUGACAGCAGCAUGUGUGCAGCAGCCAGCUGGAGCACCUGAGGACCAUAAAACCGGGGAACAAACGCCGAUACUUCAUUCAGCUGGCAAACCAAAGGAGAGUCAUUUAACUCCCGUUCUAGAGCCUAGUUGCUUUGUUACUCCGUAAAAAGCUUCAAGAUGAAUUAUUAAUCCCAGCUCAUAUUGACAACAAGCACAUAAUUUCAUUUCCUGCUGUAUGACAGAGUUCAAAACCAAACACAUCUCAAUUUCUCUUAAGAAAUUCGAAUUAAUGGUUCUUGAAUGGCUCUUGUGAGACUAACACUUCCUGAUGCUUUAGCAGAGCUUGGAUAUUAGUCUGGGCUUUGGAGCUGGCCUCACCUCUACAGGGGGACAAUCCACCAUCCCAAACCUUGCCAUGUGCAGGGACUGUCCAGCUCUACAUCUGAAUUAAAUUUUGUGAUUUGUAAAAUUCUUCCUUAGCAGAAACACCAAGUAGUAAUUGUGCAGUUCACGUCAGCAGAGGAGGUACAAUAGUUUUGGACAGCCCGAAGGAUCACAGCUCACUGUGAGGAAGGGAAUUUCUGCAGCUGUCAUGAAGUAAACUGGCUACCAGUUACUGCUAUGGUGGUGAAGGACUUCAGCUGGUAUAGAGAACCAGAGGAAUUUAUUUUUCAUUGUAGAUCAAGAGACGUUCGGUACUCCCUCCUGGGGAAAAUCCAAAGUCAUGCUGGAAACAAUGGCACAGGGAACUGGAUUUUUUUUUAUACUCUUCUGUGUUUUCAUUUCUAAGCUCUCUACUCUGAAAAAAAAUGAAGAAAAUUCCAUGUACAGCACCCCUACACUGAAAGUCGAUUUCCUAAAAGUGAUUGCUUAUUUUUAGCUGUACAUACCAACUGUUUCUGUUUACUAUACAGCUUUUGUUUUGCUAUACACCAUAUUUAUCUUUUUCAUUCUUCUUCUCCACAACAUGUGCUAAUUCACUCUGUUUCAUUCUAUCAUUUAAACCUGCACUCCUCGCUUGGUGUCCAAAGUGCUCAUUUCUCCAAUAUCAACACUGGUAGCUCUCAGUUUGGUCACACGCUACCUUCAGAGAUGCACUGGAAAAAAUUAAGCAUGCAGAAGUAACACCUUCACUUUCCUGCAUGGUAGCAGUAGUUAAGGGCAAUUUUUCCCAGACUUGCUUUGGUGUGGUGCUAUUCCUGAGGCAUUAAGCAUCUUUGUUCUUCUCUAAAACUUCUGGAAACUGCAAGGGCUUACAGCUCUCCCUAAUGUCAGUGGGAUGCCUGGUGCUGCAGUGCUGUUGUGUGUCACUUGUCGCUCUAACCCACCUGGAAUCCAAAUCACAGCCCUACGGUUUCCCUCCUGAAGGAGUCUUAGUUCCUGUUCUUCCAUCGAUCUUGCUUCCCCUUGCUCCUGCAGCUGCAUAGUCAAAACUGUUUGUACGGUCCCAGUGAGUAAUUCUUGUGUGGCUUUCCAGACUCUGGUGGAUGUGUCCAUGAGGAACAUGCUUUCAGAAAAUACAUAUCGAUUGCUGGUUUCCUGCAAAAUGCACUUGCAUCACAGAACACCAAAAAUGCACCUGCACCUUCAGGCCCUAGAAGACAUGCGUGCGUGGGUGUCACAAUACCCACUGUCACAGUGUUUUGAAAAAACAGCACAUUUAAAAAAAAAGAAGACUGGCAGGAGGAUUGUAUAACUUCAGACACAGCCAAGUGGCAGCCCUAUAAGAAACAGCCUAUCACAUAAAAUGUGCUCAUUACCCACUCUGUUACUUUAUGCUACUUGUGAGUGAUGGAGACACCUGGCUACUCUCAGAUAAGUCCCAUUGUCCUUCCUCUUGUCAUCACGACACAUUCCUCUUGCAUUCAUCGGGGAUGGUAUUUCUGUCACGUCUGGGAAGGUAUUUAGAUGAGAGACCCAGCAGUGCAUAACAUCCAAUUGCAUUCUGUGCUGCUUGUAUAGAACAUUCUGAUCUUCCCAAAUUGAAACAGCCCACAAUGCGUGGACAUUUCAUUGUGCCUUUGGAUUUUGUUUGCAUUUUCAGUAAAACAUAGUGUCUCCCAUAAUCCGCUACUGACAACGGUCUGGCAUGAAAAAAAAAAUCAGUAUCAAAAUGGCUUCAGGGUACCCCUAUAAAAUAUGUGUAUUGAAGUCUGAAAUAGCUUAGCGACAAAAAAUACCAACUAAACAAAAACCACACAACAAAAUUAUUUCAGAAAAAUUCUUCUGUGAGUCAGGAAUCCCUCAAAGCUCUGUGCAUGUUUUACUCUUUGCUUGCCUUGCUCUGCCUUCCACAGAUACGCAGUGGUUUCACCCAUGUGUCUGUGGUACUUAACGAACUAGCGAGCCCAAAUCCCAUACCAGGGAGACAUGACCAAGGGCAGGAACAGCUUUGCCUUCUCCUUCCUCUGACUUCACAGCAGAAAUUCAU